AUUGAACGCUGGCGGCAGGCUUAACACAUGCAAGUCGAGCGGGGUGAUGGUGCUUGCACUAUCACUUAGCGGCGGACGGGUGAGUAAUGCUUAGGAAUCUGCCUAUUAGUGGGGGACAACAUUUCGAAAGGAAUGCUAAUACCGCAUACGUCCUACGGGAGAAAGCAGGGGAUCUUCGGACCUUGCGCUAAUAGAUGAGCCUAAGUCGGAUUAGCUAGUUGGUGGGGUAAAGGCCUACCAAGGCGACGAUCUGUAGCGGGUCUGAGAGGGUGAUCCGCCACACGGGGACUGAGACACGGCCCAGACUCCUACGGGAGGCAGUAGUGGGGAAUAUUGGACAAUGGGCGGAAGCCUGAUCCAGCCAUGCCGCGUGUGUGAAGAAGGCCUUAUGGUUGUAAAGCACUUUAAGCGAGGAGGAGGCUACUUUAGUUAAUACCUAGAGAUAGUGGACGUUACUCGCAGAAUAAGCACCGGCUAACUCUGUGCCAGCAGCCGCUGUAAAAC
rnacentral:rRNA from 1 species